rnacentral:rRNA from 1 species
AGCGAACGCUGGCGGCAGGCUUAACACAUGCAAGUCGAACGGGCACCUCGGUGCUAGUGGCCGACGGGUGAGUAACACGUGGGAACGUACCUUUCGGUUCGGAAUAAUCCAGGGAAACUUGGACUAAUACCGGAUACGCCCUUCGGGGGAAAGAUUCAUCGCCGAUAGAUCGGCCCGCGUCUGAUUAGCUAGUUGGUGAGGUAAUGGCUCACCAAGGCGACGAUCAGUAGCUGGUCUGAGAGGAUGAUCAGCCACAUUGGGACUGAGACACGGCCCAAACUCCUACGGGAGGCAGCAGUGGGGAAUAUUGGACAAUGGGCGCAAGCCUGAUCCAGCCAUGCCGCGUGAGUGAUGAAGGCCUUAGGGUUGUAAAGCUCUUUUGUCCGGGAAGAUAAUGACUGUACCGGAAGAAUAAGCCCCGGCUAACUUCGUG